rnacentral:rRNA from 1 species
UGGGGAAUCUUGCGCAAUGGGCGAAAGCCUGACGCAGCCAUGCCGCGUGAGUGAUGAAGGCCUUAGGGUUGUAAAACUCUUUCACCGGGGACGAUAAUGACGGUACCCGGAAAAGAAGCCCCGGCUAACUUCGUGCCAGCAGCCGCGGUAAUACGAAGGGGGCUAGCGUUGCUCGGAAUUACUGGGCGUAAAGGGCGCGUAGGCGGAUCAGCAAGUUGGGGGUGAAAGCCCGGGGCUCAACCUCGGAAUUGCCUUCAAAAACUGCUGAUCUAGAGUACGGGAGAGGUGUGUGGAACUCCGAGUGUAGAGGUGAAAUUCGUAGAUAUUCGGAAGAACACCAGUGGCGAAGGCGACACACUGGCCCGUUACUGACGCUGAGGCGCGAAAGCGUGGGGAGCAAACAGGAUUAGAUACCCUGGUAGUCCACGCUGUAAACGAUGAUUGCUAGUUGUCGGCAGGCAUGCCUGUCGGUGACGCAGCUAACGCAUUAAGCAAUCCGCCUGGGGAGUACGGUCGCAAGAUUAAAACUCAAAGGAAUUGACGGGGUCAUAGCUGUUUCCUG